GAAUAGUGAUGGAUUGAUGGCAGGCCUUUCUCUGUUGGCCCCUCAUACUAUAUCAAUGCCAGAGGAGCGUGCAGCCCUGAACCACUGCCCAGCCUCCUCACUGGUGGGCUGUGAGCACUGAAGGCGGCUAUACAGGG
rfam:Canis lupus familiaris chromosome 2, whole genome shotgun sequence.